GACGAACGCUGGCGGCGUGCUUAACACAUGCAAGUCGAACGAUGAAGCUGGAGCUUGCUCCGGUGGAUUAGUGGCGAACGGGUGAGUAACACGUGAGCAAUCUGCCCUUGACUCUGGGAUAACUGCGGGAAACUGUAGCUAAUACCGGAUAUGAGGCUUGGAGGCAUCUCCAGGUCUGGAAAGAAUUUCGGUCAAGGAUGAGCUCGCGGCCUGUCAGCUAGUUGGUGAGGUAAUGGCUCACCAAGGCGACGACGGGUAGCCGGCCUGAGAGGGUGACCGGCCACACUGGGACUGAGACACGGCCCAGACUCCUACGGGAGGCAGCAGUGGGGAAUAUUGCACAAUGGGCGAAAGCCUGAUGCAGCAACGCCGCGUGAGGGAUGAAGGCCUUCGGGUUGUAAACCUCUUUUAGCAGGGAAGAAGCGAAAGUGACGGUACCUGCAGUAAAAGCACCGGCUAACUACGUGCCAGCAGCCGCAGUAA
rnacentral:rRNA from 1 species